rnacentral:rRNA from 1 species
AUUGAACGCUGGCGGCAGGCCUAACACAUGCAAGUCGAGCGGAAAGGCCCUUUCGGGGGUACUCGAGCGGCGAACGGGUGAGUAACACGUGAGUAAUCUGCCUCUGGCUUCGGGAUAGCCACCGGAAACGGUGAUUAAUACCGGAUAUGACGCAUCACUGCAUGGUGUGUGCGUGGAAAGUUUUUUCGGCCAGGGAUGUGCUCGCGGCCUAUCAGCUUGUUGGUGGGGUAAUGGCCUACCAAGGCUUCGACGGGUGGCCGGCCUGAGAGGGUGACCGGCCACACUGGGACUGAGACACGGCCCAGACUCCUGCGGGAGGCAGCAGUGGGGAAUAUUGGACAAUGGGCGGAAGCCUGAUCCAGCAACGCCGCGUGAGGGAUGACGGCCUUCGGGUUGUAAACCUCUUUCAGCACAGACGAAGCGCAAGUGACGGUAUGUGCAGAAGAAGGACCGGCCAACUACGUGCCAGCCGCCGCAGUAAUAC